CCUACGGGUGGCAGCAGUGGGGGAUAUUGCACAAUGGGGGAAACCCUGAUGCAGCGACGCCGCGUGGGCGAAGAAGUAUUUCGGUAUGUAAAGCCCUAUCAGCAGGGGAGAAGAACUGACGGUACCUGAGUAAGAAGCACCGGCCAAAUACGUGCCAGCAGCCGCGGUCAUACGUAGGGUGCAGGCGUUUUCCGGAUUUACUGGGUGUAAAGGGAGCGAAGGCGGCACGGCAAACCUAAUGUGAAAGCUCGGGGCCCAACCGCGGGACUGCAGUGGGAACUACCGGUCUGGAGUGCCGGAGAGGUAGGCGGAAUACCUGGUGUAGCGGUGAAAUGCGUAGAUAUUAGGAGGAACACCAGUGGCGAAGGCGGCCUACUGGACGGUGACUGACGCUGAGGCUCGAAAGCGUGGGGAGCAAACAGGAUUAGAUACCCUAGUAGUC
rnacentral:rRNA from 1 species